UAGAAGAACAUGUAAAUCUGUUCGCGGAAUACAAGAAAAUCGAAAAUAAAAAAAAUAAAAUCUCGGCAAAUGUACACUGCAUUGUUUAUGUUCCCACUACAUAAAACUGAAAUAUAAAAUAAAAAAUACAUAUGAACAUUAGGGCGGAAUUCUUUUUGGUCGGCAAAAUACCACAGCAGUACCCUAUAGACAAUACUCUCCUAUUAAUUGAUCUAAAAUGGUUUUAAUUAUUUUCAUAUAAAUAGAUUAAAUACGCAAUAUAGUCGCGAUUUGAUACAAAAUAAAUAUACUUAUUUUUCUCAUUUUAAAAAAGUAAUAUUUAUAAGAAAUUUAUCGUGUUAGGUGCGGGAACUUUCUAUAUGAUCGCGAAAAAAUAAUAUAUUCCGUAACAUUUGUUCAUGCUCUACAAGGCCUUGCUAUGGUAUUUUUGAUAUUUGCAAAAAUUGCAAAGAGUUAUGACCCUAAUAAAUAUAUUUGAACAUAAGAAUUGAAAAAACAAUUGUAUAAUAUAUAUUUUCAUACAAACACAGCAAAAAUUUA
rnacentral:misc_RNA from 1 species